CCUACGGGUGGCAGCAGUGAGGAAUAUUGGUCAAUGGACGAGAGUCUGAACCAGCCAAGUAGUGUGAAGGAUGACUGCCCUAUGGGUUGUAAACUUCUUUUAUAUGGGAAUAAAAUGUUCCACGUGUGGGAUUUUGUAUGUACCAUAUGAAUAAGGAUCGGCUAACUCCGUGCCAGCAGCCGCGGUAAUACGGAGGAUCCGAGCGUUAUCCGGAUUUAUUGGGUUUAAAGGGAGCGUAGGUGGAUUGUUAAGUCAGUUGUGAAAGUUUGCGGCUCAACCGUAAAAUUGCAGUUGAAACUGGCAGUCUUGAGUACAGUAGAGGUGGGCGGAAUUCGUGGUGUAGCGGUGAAAUGCUUAGAUAUCACGAAGAACUCCGAUUGCGAAGGCAGUUCACUGGACUGCAACUGACACUGAGGCUCGAAAGUGUGGGUAUCAAACAGGAUUAGAUACCCUUGUAGGC
rnacentral:rRNA from 1 species